AUACAGAGGGUGCAAGCGUUAUUCGGAAUUACUGGGCGUAAAGCGCGCGUAGGCGGUUUGAUCAGUCGGAUGUGAAAGCCCUGGGCUCAACCUGGGAACUGCAUUCGAUACUGUCAGACUAGAAUAUGGUAGAGGGUAGUGGAAUUCCUAGUGUAGCGGUGAAAUGCGUAGAUAUCAGGAGGAACAUCAGUGGCGAAGGCGGCUACCUGGACCAAUAUUGACGCUGAGGUGCGAAAGCGUGGGGAGCAAACAGGAUUAGAAACCCUAGUAGUCC
rnacentral:rRNA from 1 species